GGGUCUGAUCCAAAGCCCAUUGAAGUCAGUGGGAGAUUUCCAUUGACUUCAAUGGGCUUUGGAUCAGGUUCUAAAA
rnacentral:pre_miRNA from 1 species